rnacentral:rRNA from 1 species
AGACCCGAAACCCGGUGAUCUAGCCAUGGGCAGGUUGAAGGUUGGGUAACACUAACUGGAGGACCGAACCGACUAAUGUUGAAAAAUUAGCGGAUGACCUGUGGCUGGGGGUGAAAGGCCAAUCAAACCGGGAGAUAGCUGGUUCUCCCCGAAAGCUAUUUAGGUAGCGCCUCGUGAAUUCAUCUCCGGGGGUAGAGCACUGUUUCGGCUAGGGGGCCAUCCCGGCUUACCAACCCGAUGCAAACUGCGAAUACCGGAGAAUGUUAUCACGGGAGACACACGGCGGGUGCUAACGUCCGUCGUGAAGAGGGAAACAACCCAGACCGCCAGCUAAGGUCCCAAAGUCAUGGUUAAGUGGGAAACGAUGUGGGAAGGCCCAGACAGCCAGGAUGUUGGCUUAGAAGCAGCCAUCAUUUAAAGAAAGCGUAAUAGCUCACUGGUCGAGUCGGCCUGCGCGGAAGAUGUAACGGGGCUAAACCAUGCACCGAAGCUGCGGCAGCGAACGUAUCACUUAAAGCGAUUCAGCGGGUUACGAUUGACGGAGCGAAGCGAUGUCAAAGCGUAUACAAAGUCGAGUCGGUUUAAGGAUACGUUCGUUGGGUAGGGGAGCGUUCUGUAAGCCUGUGAAGGUGUGUCGUGAGGCAUGCUGGAGGU